GGGAAGCAAACUCAUCAGGAUGCUGAUGGUGGUGUCAAAUGCAGAAGAUGAGAGAGUAGGGUGAGGAUGAGGGGCAUAGCAGAUCUGCCAGAAGAGGAGUAUUAUUGGAGAUGGAAAAAUUCUAUAAAGAGAAAAUUCCACCUCCUCUACUGUUAGUGGUGAAGCUCACAUAAGAAAGAGCCAGCUGAGAGUCUGUCAAGGGGAGACCCAAAACCAGAGAAACUCCUUUUCUUCUUUGUCUCAAUCACAUCAUUUUCUAGGGACACCAAUUCAUCAAGAAGCAAGAGUUUUGCUGUCAGUUCCUCCUGCAUUCAUUCUUCCUGCUGCCUUGUGAAGAAGGUGCCUUGCUUCCCCUUUGCCUUCCACCAUGAUUGUAAGUUUAACGAGGACUCCCCAGCCAUGCAGAACUGUUCACAACCUUGAAUGGCAUGUUGGCAAUAAAAAGAAGACAAUAAAAAACUACCGAUUUUCUUGAU
rnacentral:lncRNA from 10 species